rnacentral:rRNA from 1 species
AGUGAACGCUGGCGGUAGGCCUAACACAUGCAAGUCGAACGGCAGCACAGUAAGAGCUUGCUCUUACGGGUGGCGAGUGGCGGACGGGUGAGGAAUACAUCGGAAUCUACUUUUUCGUAGGGGAUAACGUAGGGAAACUUACGCUAAUACCGCAUACGACCUACGGGUGAAAGCAGGGGAUCUUCGGACCUUGCGCGAUUGAAUGAGCCGAUGUCGGAUUAGCUAGUUGGCGGGGUAAAGGCCCACCAAGGCGACGAUCCGUAGCUGGUCUGAGAGGAUGAUCAGCCACACUGGAACUGAGACACGGUCCAGACUCCUACGGGAGGCAGCAGUGGGGAAUAUUGGACAAUGGGCGCAAGCCUGAUCCAGCCAUACCGCGUGGGUGAAGAAGGCCUUCGGGUUGUAAAGCCCUUUUGUUGGGAAAGAAAAGCAGCAGGUUAAUACCCCGCUGUCCUGACGGUACCCAAAGAAUAAGCACCGGCUAACUUC